UAGUGCCGAGCCUCAGCUGCUC
rnacentral:misc_RNA from 1 species